GAAAUGCGAUAAGUAGUGUGAAUUGCAGAAUUCAGUGAAUCAUCGAAUCUUUGAACGCACAUUGCGCCCCUCGGUAUUCCGUGGGGCAUGCCUGUUCGAGCAUCAUCUACACCCUCAAGCUCUGCUUGGCGUUGGGCGUCUGUCCCGCCUCCGCGCGCGGACUCGCCCCAAAUGCAUUGGCAGCGGUUCCUUGCCCCCCUCUUUGCGCAGCACAUUGCCAUUCGAGGCGGCGGCGGCCCGCGUCCAACAAGCUCAACCCCCCCGUCUUUGACCUCGGAUCAGGUAGGGAUACCCGCUGAACUUAAGC
rnacentral:misc_RNA from 1 species